rnacentral:rRNA from 1 species
AUGAGCGGGACCAAGUCGUCAUGGCCGGAGCUGGUGGGCAUCCUGGCGACGCUGGCGGCCACGCAGAUCGCGCACGACAGGCCCGACGUCGCCGUCGAGGUGCUGCCGCCGGGCGCCCCUCUGACACCGGACUACAACGCCGAGCGCGUCCGCGUCUUCAUCGACAACAACGGCAUCGUCUCCCAGACCCCGGUCAUCGGCUAG